UUGACAUUUCGCAUGUCAGCACACCGAUCAAUUGACGUGGCACGCCAACGUGGAUUGCCACAUCAGGCAAAGAACUUGAUUGGACCAGAAACUAUACUUCAGGGACCCGAUUGACCCUUUUGAUAUUUCAGGGACUAAACGAACCUUUGAGAGCAAAGUUAGGGAUCAAUAUGGCUAUUUUGGUUCUAAAACAAGAAAAUGAAAAGAGAAAAGGACAAACCAUUAUCCGAUUUCCA
rnacentral:lncRNA from 1 species